GUUUUACCUCACGUCGCCCCCCUCCUGAGGCGCAGGGCGGCGGGAGGGCCGCCCCCCAUUCCCCCUGCCCGUCUCCAAGAUGGCGCCGCCGCCUUCCCCUCCCGUCUUUUCCCGCCGCAGCCCCGUCACGUGACGCUGCGCGCAGGCGCCCUGCGGGCCGGCGGCACGAGGCGCGGCGCUCCCCCCCCCCCCCCCCCCCCCCCCCCCCCCCCUGCGCAUGCGCAGCGCCGCGGGCGGGAACGGGCAGGGGGCGCGCGGCGACGGGUGGGGGCGGGGGAGGGGGGGGGGUGGGCUCACGGGGAGGCCCCAAUUAACUAAUUAGGGGCUGGGGGGGGCGAGGUUACCUCAGGGAGAGCCCCCCCGGUCCGAAUUAGGGCUGUGGGAGGGGGGGCACGCGGCGUUUUGUGGCGUGCAGGCAGCAUGGAGCGGUGCCGCUUGGUUGAGGAGGGGGCUGCAAAUUGGGAGCUGCCCCUGCCCAGCUUCCCCGAGGGUCCUGGGCUGGCCGGGGGCGACGCCGACGGGACCUGUGCUGGCCUCAACGCCCCCCCGGACCCCCCAGCAGAGCCUGGCGGUGCUCUGGAGGCCGAGCUGAGCGUGCUGGCCCUGUACCCGGCCGAGCCCCUGCAGCACGAUUUUGAGCUCCCCGUGGCAGAGGACGCGCGGCACCGGUGUGGCCGCCCUGGGACCUCGCCUCCAGCCCACGGUGGUCGUGGGGAGGCGUUGGGUGGCCAGCAGGGCCAGAGCUGCUGCCCCGGGUGCAGCGAGGAGCUCCGGCAGCACGACCGAGCCCCCUGUGAGCCCCUCGCCCGCCCGGAGAGCGACCGCGACCGCCGCUCGCCGCGCCCCCACCGCUCGCUGCAGCACGGAGACCCCCGCGAGGCGCCGCCGGUGGCCACGUUCCUGCCCUGGGGCAUCGCCAGCAGCUUCGUGACCCCCGCGGAGGGGGCCGGAGGUUGGGGUGCCCCCGGGAGGAGCGAGCUGGUGGGGGCUGCGGGUGACAGCAGGGAGCAGGAGCAGCAGCGCCAGCAGGGCACCGCUCCCCACGCCCCCUGCCCAGCACCACCGGGCGAGAGCAUCAAAUCCGAGGCUCCUGCUGCCAGCUCCCAGCCCCCCCAGCACCCUUGGGAGAGCCUCAGCCAGACCCCCCCGCAGCUUGCGGGCACCCCACGCCGCCUCCUGCCCCCCUCGGGCAAGCGGCCGGCGGCCGAGCCGCUGCGCGCCGUCUUCCAGCAGCUGCCCCGGCUGCAGGAGGCUCCGGCGGCCUCCUGGCAGCUCCUCGAUGUGCCGGGGGGGCCUGGUGGGGCCCGGUGCCCCCCCGGUGCCCGCAAGCAGCCGGCGGCGUCCCCCAGCCAGGUGGCCAUGGCCUCCUUCUCCUCGCCCAGCCCCGCGCCGCCGGCGGAGAAGCGGCGCCUCACCAUCUUCAACCGCAUCCA
rnacentral:lncRNA from 1 species